rnacentral:rRNA from 1 species
CAAUAGCGUAUAUUAAAGUUGUUGCGGUUAAAGAGCUCGUAGUUGGAUUUCUGUUGAGAACGUCCGGUCCGCACUAUGUGCGUGUAUCUGGUUCGGUCUUGGCAUCCUCUUGAGGAACGUAUCUGCGCUUGAUUGCGUGGAGCGGUAUUCAAGACUUUUACUUUGAGGAAAUUAGAGUGUUCACGGCAGGCAAGCGCCUUGAAUACGUUAGCAUGGAAUAAUAAUAUAGGAUCUUGGUUCUAUUUUGUUGGUUUCUAGGGCUAAGGUAAUGAUUAAUAGGGAUAAUUGGGGGCAUUUGUAUUAACGCGUCAGAGGUGGAAUUCUUGGAUUGCGUUACGACAAACUACUGCGAAAGCAUUUGCCAAGGAUGUUUUCAUUGA